ACCCCUUUUGGCCCUGACAACCACCAGGCUGGUGCUCUGUCCCAGGCAGCAGUGCCCAGGUCAAAGCCUCUUGUCUCCUGGCCAUGUGUCCCUUUUGACUGUCUGGCAGUGCUGCCAUGGAAAGCCACUGGAUCCCCCCAGGACAAGUGUGGCAGCUUUGGGCCAGAUCUUUCUCUCUCCCUUGCAGUGGUGCUGGGCUACCAGCCCUGCUAGGCUCCCAAGGGCUCUGCCUCAUGACAGAUAGCCUCCCUGCUCCACACUCAUCCUGCUUCCUCUCUGGCUGGCACAGUACAGCCCGAACAGCAGCAGAUCCUUUUGCAGGCUGCAGCCCGGCAUGUGGUACCACUGCUGCAUUGCCCAGCCAGGGACCCGUCCUCACCCACCAUCCUGCUCUGUUGCCUCCAGACUGAGACCAUGGUCUCUUAAUCCUGGUUUCCCCCUGGAUGUGCUAAUAGGAAUGGAACCACCAGGUAAGCCAAGUCCCCAACCCCUCCAGGCCUGGCUGUGUUAUUCCACAUCAGAAUACAGUGUUUCUGCCCCAGUGCCUGGGACACGCUCACUCUCUGCAGGUCAUUUGGCACUGGCUAUUUCUUGGGUGUUGAAGCAUGGUGCCCCUUCCCUAGACAAAAAAAACAGAGGAAAGCUGUGCCUGGCAUAGCUCCACAUCUAGGUGCUGGGAGAUCUUGGCAAAAGCACAGGGCCCUGCCUGUUUUCUGGGCAAUGAGGGGACCUUGGCAGGAGUAGGGCAGAGAGUGGAAGAGCUCUGUCUGGGCUUCCCUCAAGGGGCAAAGCUUUUGGAGUCCUAUCUUAGAGCAGCAGCACAGACAGAAAUGCUGUAACAAAAAAAAAACAGCGUCAGGUUAGCUUAGGAGGAGCCAAACCCUUGGUGUGGGCACAUGGAGCCCCCCCAUGUGCUGUUUCCAGAGGGAUGGUACUUGUGCUGCUCAGCUGAGCUAGUGAAGGCCUGGACUUGGCUCUGUCCAUCCAUGUGGCCAGAAUUAGGGCUUCUGGCUCAAGGAGAGAAGACAGAGGUGACCAGGUGGUUUCUCUCUGUGCGUGCUUGGAGUGCAGGAGGCCAUGGUCCCAGGGUUGCUGUUCCCCUCUGUGGGGAGAUGGUGGGCUCCCUUGCUGCUGUCAGAGUCUGAGCUCUGCUGUGAGCUGGAUGGGCUGUCAGCAGGGAGGAGCUUGGCACUGCCAAGAGACCCUCCCUGGGAUACAGCCCCUUGCAUCUCAAGGAAGGUGAGAAGCAGAGCUACACCCCAGCUGUUCCCAUCCCACACUGAUGGGCAUUCCUCCAGAAGGAUGUUCAAGGAGAUAUUAGGGUGUACUUGGAGGCACUUUGGGUGAUACUUUCCUGUCCCUGCCAUGAGCCCAUUAUUUUCCAGCACAAUGCUUCAAGCAACAGUAUCUGGGCUGGGCAAAAAGUGGUGUAGCCCUGUGUUCUAGCCAUGUGUUCUAGUGGCUGGUGCUGGCAGUGCCUGAUGACUGGUGUUGAGAGCUCAGCUGGGAUGGAUUUGUGUGCUAGCAGGUCAGCUUGUCCUUAUACAUCCAUUCUCCUGAAAGACAGCUGCUGCUGGGGAGAAAAUGGCUGUGACUUCAGAGGGACAUGGGGAAGAGAAUGGAAGGUGAAACUGUGUGUUUGUUCUGGCAUGGACACACUCUUUCUUCUCUGCAUCAGGCUGAUUCUUGCUGUUGGUUGCUGAUUUUGCUUCCCAGUGGUUGAUAGUGCCACACAAGUCAUGGUACAAGUCUCCUUCAGAUAUGGAGGAGGGAAACAGGAACCUUCCAGGCAGGCAGAGCACAGCAUGUUACUACUUCAGCAUCCACCCACAGCUGAGAGCAUUCACUUGCUUUCCUACCUGCUUUGGUGCAGGCCUCAUGGGGUGCCAGGAAGAGCGGAUCUUUCCAAAAAGCUUUUGUUUGGACCCAAGGCAUCAAAGCUGCAGUGCCCAUGGGUUGUGACCACAGGGGAGUUGUGUUGCAUCUGCAAAUCUCUGCUGUACAUCAAGAGCACAUCUGAACAGAGCCACUGUGGACACUGAAGAGCUGGAGAGGACAUUGCGGAGGUUCGGAGGCACACCGUGAUGGUGGGAGCCAUUCCACGGCAGCCACGCCGCUUCUGGGGGGUGCCUGACUGGCAGGUGUCUUCAGCUAAUUGUGCCAACGACCGCCUGCUGCAGGGCAGGGAGGUUAAUCCGGAGCAAAGCAGGGUCCUGAUGCAGAGGGAUGCUGUGCUGCAGAGCACCUCGUAGUAGAGGGCUCACACAGAGAUCCUGAGUGAGAGAGGGCCCAGCUCACACCCCCUGCCCUUGCACCCUGACCUGUGGCACUUUACAGUCCCCCUCCUGCUGCUGCAUGGGCUCCACUGGGAGUCCCAGCAAGUGAGGCUCCAUGCGGCACAUCCACACAGAGACGUGUCUGCCCCCGGAGCGCAGCACAGACCCCAGCCUGUCCCGGCCCAGCGGGGAGACACCCUUGGAGCCUUCCUCACAGUGCUGCACCCACCGCAGCAUCCUCAUGGGCUACAAUGAGACAGAGAUCAAGCGCCAGAAGGUGUACCAAGUGUCCAUCUUCUCCCACCUCUCCAGCUCUUCUGAGAGCACGGAGCAGCGGGCAGGCACCCGGCCAGCUGUCAAGAGGGGAUACCCCGAGCAACGAACUCUGGAGGGGGGUCGAGAUCCAAAAAGAACUCACUGGGGUGACAAGGGGGUGGAUGGGGGCCCUGGGCAGCCUUCCCUGGAUGAUGAUGAAACCUUUGAGGAUGGUCUGCUGGUGGAGGAGCUCUCCCUUUGUGGCUCUGCCCAGCACUUCUCCCACAGUGGGCUGCGGGUGGUGGAGCAUCGCUGUGAGGGCAGCCCUAGCCACAGCCCCAAGGCCAGCAGGGAGGACAAGUUGCAGGAUGUCUCCUCCUCCUCCUCCACCUCCUCCUCCACCUCCUCCUCCACCUCCUGCU